rnacentral:rRNA from 1 species
CUGCGGAAGGAUCAUUACCGAGUGAGGGCCCUCUGGGUCCAACCUCCCACCCGUGUUUAUUUUACCUUGUUGCUUCGGCGGGCCCGCCUUAACUGGCCGCCGGGGGGCUUACGCCCCCGGGCCCGCGCCCGCCGAAGACACCCUCGAACUCUGUCUGAAGAUUGAAGUCUGAGUGAAAAUAUAAAUUAUUUAAAACUUUCAACAACGGAUCUCUUGGUUCCGGCAUCGAUGAAGAACGCAGCGAAAUGCGAUACGUAAUGUGAAUUGCAAAUUCAGUGAAUCAUCGAGUCUUUGAACGCACAUUGCGCCCCCUGGUAUUCCGGGGGGCAUGCCUGUCCGAGCGUCAUUGCUGCCCUCAAGCCCGGCUUGUGUGUUGGGCCCCGUCCCCCGAUCUCCGGGGGACGGGCCCGAAAGGCAGCGGCGGCACCGCGUCCGGUCCUCGAGCGUAUGGGGCUUUGUCACCCGCUCUGUAGGCCCGGCCGGCGCUUGCCGAUCAACCCAAAUUUUUAUCCAGGUUGACCUCGGAUCAGGUAGGGAUACCCGCUGAACUUAAGCAUAUCAAUAAGCGGAGGAAAAGAAACCAACAGGGAUUGCCCCAGUAACGGCGAGUGAAGCGGCAAGAGCUCAAAUUUGAAAGCUGGCUCCUUCGGGGUCCGCAUUGUAAUUUGCAGAGGAUGCUUCGGGAGCGGUCCCCAUCUAAGUGCCCUGGAACGGGACGUCAUAGAGGGUGAGAAUCCCGUAUGGGAUGGGGUGUCCGCGCCCG